AAAAAAAAAAGUGUAUCUCUCACAUAGAAGAAUUUGUCAAGCUUACUUAUAUAAAAUACAUUGUUCAUAUUGAUAUAAAGCAGCUGGCAGCAGGGAUAAAAAGAUUAUUUAAAAAUAUAUUAAUAUAUUUCCACAGGAAGUGUGAAAAAAUAAAUUCUUCUCAUUUCCAAUUAGCUCCAAAAAAUCUAGUUUUCUACAAUUCACGUUUUUACUCCCUUUCUUAUUCAGCCUAUAAAUAGUGAUUCCUCUUCUCUGGUUCUUUCAUCCCUAAUGUGAAUCCCUACUGCUGUUUAGCAAGUUCAUUCAGAUGAAAAUAAAAAGUAAAAAGUGUCGUCUUACAUGUUCUGUAGCCUGCAUGUGCAUAACGUUUGGUUCAGUUUGCUUAAGUCUCUGCCUGAUAAGCCUCAGAGACAGUGCCUCUGUUUGAAAGUUGUAAAGGAAAUAAUUGACACCAAAUAGUUUCCUGUCAUGGAAAAGAUACUUCUACACAGAUGCAGCCAGCUAAUGGCUGAGGCCAGAGUUGGAGCCAGCGAUGCAUGCCAGACCCCUUAUCUGAAGCUUCAUUUUAAACUGUCAAAUAAACUAGAUAAGUUAACAGCAGACUUUGUCACAGUGUUUUUAGGUCCAUGCCCUUUAAUUUAUUAUUUUUUUUUUUUAAGAGGAAAUUAAUAGAGGAUGCUAGACAAUUUCUUUCACAUUGUUUUUUUUCUAUUUUUUUACUGUUCCUACUUUUUUCAUUCUAAUAGUUGGAUGAAAGUUGUCCUGCUUCUAUCUCCCGUCUAUGAUAAUUACAAGUCAAGAAACCCCAUUGGUCUUUACAUUAUGACAACUCUCUCAAACUCUUUACUUACUUGCAUCUUCCAGAACCCCAGGCAAAUGCUGUCUGAUGGGGAAGCCUCAUAGAGCUAAAGUGAUAAAUUCCACUGAGAUGUAGACAGCACCAUCAAAUCCUAGCACAAGAAACAGAAGAAGAUAAUGUGUCCUGCUUAAAGAGAUACCAUGGCACACAAGAUGCUGUCCAAGCUCAUGGUAGAUAUCUAGAUUAGAAGACUCAUUCCCAGCUCUACAGCUGCCAUGUAUAUGCCUGCCUCUGGAACUUAACCAGCGUGGCAGACCAGCAAUGUGACUGGAACCUCGUUACAAAAGGAGGAAUCCUGGCAGUGUCCUGGCACGCUCCUCAGAUUGUUGCACCAACACAUGCCAGUCUUUAUCUGAAAAGCAGACAGAAGGAACAGUUAGGGUUUCAGUCUGACCUCAGUAGGGUCUGCAUUCUGUCCCAGGCAGUGCACAGCCUCUGUCUCUGCUCACUGUCAAUGCUGUGCUGUGGACUGCUGUUGUUGCCUGGGGAAAAAGAAUGGGUAAGGAGCUUGGGAACUGAUGAUGCUGUGAAAAGGAAGGUAGCACCAUAUGAUGUAAGAUAGGUGCACUGUGUAUUGCUAUUUUUUGCAUUCACGGAUGCAGCCAUCACUGUGCAGUUAAUAACAAAGGCUGGUUGUAAGUGACAUAACAUGAUGUAUUCUACGAAUGCAAAGUGGUUGGAUUGUAAUUAGUCAUGUGAUAACUAUACAUGGGAUGUUUUAUGCUCAGAUAUGUUUACAUACAAGCUGACAAACAAAGAGAUUGAGAUACAGUUCCUGUGAUUUUUUAGGUAUCUGUGAUAAAUUAAUGACUGUGGAAGCAAGCCAAAGAGUUUCAGAGUCAGAACAAAAGAAGUUGCUCAAACAACCAGCACAUUUUUCAUUCUAAUAGUUGGACAAAAGCUGGCCAGCUUCUGCUUGCCAUCUCUGUGGCUUCCAAGUCAAGGAUCUCCAUGGGUCUCUAUAUUAUGACAACUCAUUACUCCAAACUCUUUAGGUAUUUGCAUUCUCCAGAGCAUUAGGCAAAUGGUGUUUCAUGGGGAAGCCUCACAGAGUUCAAGGUAUGUAGAAAUGUAUAUAUGUCCAUUUAAAUGCAAAGUUUAGAACGGGGAUGAGGUGAAGGAAUGAAGACUGCAUGUACUGGCAGAAAAUGAAAAUGUGUGUAGUUGCUCAAACAGUCAGAAGGUUUUGGCAUACUGACUUCACCUGUAUGGACUAAAUACUAUUGCAAAUGUAGUCUAAAAUGCUCCUUGCAUGCAAUGCCCUGUAAUUUUUAAUGUGCUUAGUAAAGAUUUCAUUAAAAGAAUAAACUCGUGGUUCCACCAUAAGGAAGUAGUUUACAAAGAAGCCCUUUGAAAUUUAAAUCAGAUAGUUUUCUGCCUAAUGAUCUCCACAGUUACAGGGAGAGAAGGGUAUGUUUUAUAUUCAAAAUAGUACAGGAUGUAUUAUGAAAGGUAGGGAAGUGAAAACAGAUGAAUAACUCUUGCUAUGUGUAGCCAGCAGAAAACAUACAGAGAUGAAGCAAGAGUCAGAUUCCUUCUGGACUACCUGCAGGUCUUCAGGAGAAAGAGCAUGAGAGUGGAAGUCAAAAAUUACCAUCUUCAGUGCCAGUGCUUUGCACUGAGUUUCCUGUGUAAUGCUGAAUACGUCAGAUCAUGACUCAGUUUUUCUCCUUCGAAAUGUGAAUAAUAUUCCCUUACCUUGUACACUGUGAGAUGUAGCUUAUUAGUACAGUAACUGCUUUGCAAGUUGCAGGAGGUAGAAGCUACAGUUGGCAGAGUAAUGGCAUACAGUGACACAUGAAAUGACAUAAUCAGAACUGUAAAGUCAGAAUUGAAUAUAAAGUACUUCAUUAAAACUUGACCCACAUUGUCAAGUGUUCCCUUUACAGAUUACUAACAGUAAACUGGCUUCUAAAAGCAAGGAACUCUUCCAAGGCUGUUCUUCUAUUGCAAGAUGUUUUCGGAUUCUGCUUGUUCUAAAAGUCAUUUAUCACCAUUUACAAUACUGAAGAAAUUUCUCUGUAAGAUCAAUGAUUAUUACACAUUCUGUUAAGAUUUCCAGUUGUAGAAACACAGUAUGACAGUAGCAUAAAAAGCACAAACUGUCUUCAUACUGCUUCAUACUACAAAAAUAAUUCCCACUUUAAUGAAGCAGCAAAACAUUAUUAGGAGAAGCAAUGUGAUAAAGCUAAAUAAAAUUAGGAAAGAAGUAUCCAAAAAUUAUCCAAAAUUAGGAAAGAAGAUUCCAAAAAUUAGUUUAAUUACUUCUACAGACGCUUAUGUGCAGUUCACACCGAAGUCAGCUAGAGUGGUUGGCAUGUGUAUAACCAAAGAUAACAUUCACAAUACAAGAGGGAUGCCUCUUACACAGUGUGCAGAGCUGGCUUCUUUAAAAGGAUCUUUGAUUUAAAAAUCAUGAGACCAAAACUAAUUGGUAAUGAUCUGCAAGAAAAGUAAUACUGCCAGGAAAGCUUGGUGAUGGUAAACAAUUAAGAAAUAAAUGUGAAGUCCUGAGAAAAUGCCUGAACCAAUGCACAGGCAUGUACAAUUGUUGCAGUAAAAUUAAAGCAAUCCAAUUCACUGGGCAUAACUGUGGAAAAGCUGUUGCCCCUGGGGUUGAACUCAGUCCUUUUAGUUUAACAUGAGUUUUGCUUGAUUAGGUAAAAAAAAUACAUAAUCAGAUAUUCUGUUGGGGACUUUUUAAAAGCUUGUGUUUAUAUUGUAAGUGGGAAAAAAAAAAAAGCAAACUAAAAUGGCCUUAUUGCUAUACAGGAACAUAGAGGCAUUUCUUAGGAAGAGAGCUUUUUGGUGAAACAUCUUCCAGCUGGUUAUGGCAAACAGAAGUAGAAAUGCAAAUGGCAGCAGUUUGUAGCCUGAGUAGAGUUAACAAGAAUUGUCCCCUCUAGAGUCAGAUUAUGGUCACUGUAACACCAAUGUAAAUCUGAAGUAAUCCCUCUGAUUUCUAUGUGAAUACUCUGGUGGAACUGUGAAUAGCAGCAUAUGUGAUGAGAAUUAUACCCUUUGGAUUUUUACAGAUAAACAGAAGAGAUUUUUCUUAGUAUGGAAAUGCAUUCUGGCACCAUUAAGGAUAGUACAGUAUUAGAUGUAUUUUCUUAAUUUUUUUCUUUUGAAUUUCCAGUUUUUACAGACAGUCCACUUCUUUCACUCUCUGAAUUCUCUCACUGUGUUUCCUUGCGAUCGAUACUCAACCUUUCGUUGCUGGUUGUUUUUAAGCACUCAGUGAUCCAACAGGCAUGUCUGUGUUUUCUAUCAUGCUCUCUUCAUCCAUGAACUUCUUCAUGUUUACCAAGUUAUCCUUUUACCACCUGAAAUCUCAGCUGUUUAUGUAUGCCCUGCUGCUACCAAAAACUGAUGUGAUCCAGUUUUGCCCCUGAAAAGAUGGCACUGAGAAUAUAAAAAGCAUACAGAAUAGACAGGAACUGCAAAAACAAUCUUAGAUAACAAUGAAGAGAAUCUGUGGUUAAA